rnacentral:rRNA from 1 species
AAAAGAACCUGAAACCGUGUACGUACAAGCAGUGGGAGCACCUUCGGGUGUGACUGCGUACCUUUGUAUAAUGGGUCAGCGACUUAUAUUCUGUAGCAAGGUUAACCGUAGUAGGGAGCCGCAGGGAAACCGAGUCUUAACUGGGCGUUAAGUUGCAGGGUAUAGACCCGAAACCCGGUGAUCUAGCCAUGGGCAGGUUGAAGGUUGGGUAACACUAACUGGAGGACCGAACCGACUAAUGUUGAAAA